rnacentral:rRNA from 1 species
CACCGCGGUUAUACAAAAGAUUUAAGUAAAUUUUUUUAAUUUGUAAUUAAAUAAAUUUUUAUUAUUAAAAUAUAAAUAUUAAAGGUGAAAUUUAUUAUUUAUAAAUGUUAAUUAUUGAUAAUAAUUGUUUUAUGAAAAUAAAAAUUUAAACUAGGAUUAGAUACCCUAUUAUUUUUAUUGUAGAUUUUUAAUUAAAUUAUUAUUAGUUAUGUUCUUGAAAUUUAAAAAAUUUGGCGGUAUUUUUUCUUAAUAGAGGAAUCUGUUUUAUAAAUGAUAAUCCACGAUAAAAUUUACUUAAGUUUAUAGUUAGUAUAUCGUUGUUAAAAAAAUAUAUUUUUAGAUUUUUAAAUUUUAAUAUAUUUAAUAAAAUUCUAUUUCAAAUCAAGAUGCUGCUUAUAUUUAUGUAAUAAUGGGUUACAAUUUAUUUAAAAAUAUGGAAUUAUUAUUGUAAAAUUUUAAUGAAAGUGGAUUUAUUUGUAAUUUAAAAUAAAUUUUUUAUUUGAUAUUAGUUUUGAAAUAUGUACAUAUCGCCCGUCGCUCUCAUUUUAAAAUGAGAUAAGU